GCUUACGGCCAUACCAGCCUGGGUACGCCCGAUCUCGCCUGAUCUCGGAAGCUAAGCAGGGUCGGGCCUGGUUAGUACUUGGAUGGGAGACCGCCUGGGAAUACCAGGUGCUGUAAGCA
rnacentral:rRNA from 1 species